CGUAUGGAAAAAAUGGCUAGAAUCAGCGAUUUUAAAAAGAAAAACCAGGUUUUGGUGCCUGAAUUGGUCAUUCAAGAAGCUUCAGAAGCUAUAAAUAAAGUGGUGCCAGCAAAAUCUAAACAAUUAUACGAAAAAGAGUAUUCAAAUUUUUGUGAAUGGAGGGAGCGGAAGGAUGCAAAAGGAGUAGACGAGAGAAUAAUUUUGACUUAUAUUUCUGAACGAUCCAAAAAUGCAAAAUCUUCGUCAUUGUGGGCGUAUUAUUCCCAACUGAAGAAAAUGUUAUCUGUUAAAGAAAAUAUCGAUAUAAGCAGAUUUCAUCAGGUAUCUGCUUUCUUAAAACAACACUCUGUAGGGCACAGACCAAAGAAAUCUAAAGUCUUCAGCUUCGAAGAAAUGUAAAAGUUUUUAGACACUGCUUCAGAUGAUGAAUAUUUGCUGCAAAAAGUGGUUCCAAUUGUGGGAGUUUUUGGAGGCUGUAGAAUUGAAGAAUUAGUUGCCAUGUCAGUUGAUGACGUCGAUGAUCGAGGCAACGUAAUUGUGGUCAAUAUUCCUGACACGAAGACUUAUAAGCCAAGAACAUUUACUAUCAUCAAUGGAAGUAACUCUAUUCCUGCCAUUGAGGUUUUUCGCAAGUACAGAAAACUACGACCCGAGAGUAUUUUACACAAACGGUUGUUUAUCAAUUAAUGUAAACAGAAAUGGACAGUGCAACCAGUUGGGAUAAAUACAAUUUCAAAAUUUCCCGAAAAAAUUGCACGAUUUCUUUGUCUUCCAAAUCCAGAAGAAUAUACCGGACAUAGCUUUAGACGUUCAAGUGCAACUUUACUGGCAGACUCUGGAGCCGAUUUAGCAGUGGUAAAGAGACACGGAGGAUGGCGUUCAAAUAGCGUUGUGGAAGGAUAUAUAAAAGAUUCCCUUAAUAAUAAAAUUGAAAUUUCAAGGAAAAUCAUAAACCAUUCUUCAAUAAUCAUUCAGAAAUUGUUAGAUUAUUUGAAGACACCAGCUCAGUUGUUAAACCUAAACGUGUCUAUUUUCCUGUGCGACACAAUGACGCUUUGGUGCAAGUUGUGAGAAAUGCGGUAGAAGAAGAUUCUAAUGUUAGCACCAGGAUAAUAGCACGACAACAUAAUAUUAGCAAGAGUUCGGUCCAAAGAAUUUUAAAAUCAAAUAAAUUUCAUCAAUAUAAAAUAUCAUUACAUCAAGAAUUGCGUCCUGGUGACUAUGAAAGCCGAAUGGAGUUUUGCCAACACCUAAUUCAUUUAUUAUAGGAAAAUAAUGAUUUACUAAAUUUUGUUUUGUUUUCGGACGAAGCAACAUUUAAAAGCAACGGAUUGGUGAAUAGGCACAAUAUGCAUUAUUGGGCAGUUGAAAAUCCACGAUGGAUGCGACAAGUAGACCAUCAAAGAGUAUAGUCUCUGAAUGUUUGGGGCGGCAUUCUUGGACAAUUUGUUAUCGACCCAUUCUUUUUUGAUGGCCAUUUGAAUGGAGAGAUGUAUCUCAAUUUUUUGAGGAGAAGUUUGAUGGACAUAUUAGAAAAUGUCCCUUUAAACAGAAUAGGGCAACUUAUAUUCAUGCACGAUGGAGCUCCUCCCCAUUUUGCACGACGGGUUCGGCGCCACUUAGACCGACACCUACCGGAAAGGUGGAUAGGACGUGGAGGACCCUUGCACUGGCCAGCGCGCUUUCCUGACUUGACACCAUGUGAUUUUUUUCUCUGGGGUGUGGUUAAAGAAAAAGUUUAUAAAACGACACCCACAACUGUAGACGACAUGAAGGACCGAAUCAGAGCUGCUUUUGCUGAGAUAACACCCGAAACCCUCAUACGAGUGAAACGAAGUUUUAGAGACCGGUUGUUGCUCUGCUUGCAAGCAAAUGUCAAUGUGUUUGAGCAUUUAAUGUAAAAAUUCGUAAUUCUUCUAAAGAAGAUAAUUCGAGACAGUUUUUUAUGGUUGCACGCAGUUUUUUGUUUUUAACACGACUUUCUUGUUGCUGGUUGCUGCUAUUUAUUAUUGUUGUUUUACCAAUACAUUUUUUCGGUAAUGCUUUUGAUUUUUGUGGUUUAUUUAAACGUUACCUCGAACAUUU